UACGUAGGGGGCAAGCGUUGUCCGGAUUUAUUGGGCGUAAAGGGCGCGUAGGCGGCCACCGCAAGUCGACUGUGAAAUCUCCGGGCUUAACCCGGAAAGGUCAGCCGAUACUGCGGGGCUAGAGUGCAGAAGGGGCAACUGGAAUUCUCGGUGUAGCGGUGAAAUGCGUAGAUAUCGAGAGGAACACCUGCGGCGAAGGCGGGUUGCUGGGCUGACACUGACGCUGAGGCGCGAAAGCUAGGGGAGCGAACGGG
rnacentral:rRNA from 1 species